UACGUAGGGUGCGAGCGUUGUCCGGAAUUAUUGGGCGUAAAGAGCUUGUAGGCGGUUUGUCGCGUCUGCUGUGAAAAUCCGGGGCUCAACCCCGGACUUGCAGUGGGUACGGGCAGACUAGAGUGUGGUAGGGGAGACUGGAAUUCCUGGUGUAGCGGUGAAAUGCGCAGAUAUCAGGAAGAACACCCGUGGCGAAGGCGGCUUUCUGGGACGGUACUGACGCUGAGACGCGAAAGCGUGGGGAGCGAACAGG
rnacentral:rRNA from 1 species